rnacentral:lncRNA from 1 species
UUUGCACACUUGAAGCCCAGUCCUGUGACUCUCUGCAUUGUCCACAAAGCUACCUGAGUACUUGAUGAAAGUCAACUGGAAUGCUUGCCUGAAGAAUACCACUCCACUUCUGAAGCACUUGCAGGGUUGGGCUUUUAGGUUAAUUCAAAUUUUUGUAUUGAAAAUUAUUUAAUAAUGAAAAAAUUGUAAUAAAUGUCUUUUUAAUCUGUGCAAUACAAGAUCCACUACUAAAAAAAGGAAAAAAAAAUAUAUUUUGCAUAGUUGGAGUUGAUAAAUGAUAUUAUUUUUUACUAAUGGAACAAUGGAACACAAAAGUGGGUGAGAGAAAUAGGCAUACUGUGAAGAUGUCAUAAAAGUGUAACUUUAUACGUUUUUCUCUGCUGCUAUAGUUAUUUAUACAGCUUAUAUACGUGCCUGAAAUAGCCAGAAAUAUUAUUUUAUGCCAUGAUAUACUAUGAAUUUCCUUUCAGUUGUAGAACAGAGAAAAGAAAAUGUGUGAGCUUUAAGUUUAUAUUAUGUAUUGUAUACGAUUAUUUACACUUUCACUUUGAAAGCAAAAAGUUAAAAGACUAGACAGACAGGAGUACAUGAGCCCUUAGCUGUGCUCCUCAGUCCGGGAGUUAAUAUAUGUGCUAGAGGGAUGAAAACAGUAGCCAUCUAAUCACUGUAUUAGCAUCUCCUCCCAGGGCCACAGAGUGGAGAAACGCGUCUGACAUUCAGAGAUACAGCUUACUGCAACCACAGCUUCGCUACCAAGGAGAGGCAUGGCAGGUGCUCACAUCUAUUCAGAUGUCUUUCAGCACUUCAGACGUGCAGUUUGGGCGAAUAAAAUGCAAUAUAGAAUGACCACCUCUCCCUGAUGGCUCUGUCGCUAGUGUUUGGGCUCUGGAGCUGUGAGCUCUGGGACCUGUAGUCGCAGCAGGCUGCAAUUUUGAAUAGAAGAUGAGUGUGCACCCCAGUACUUGGGCAGCUCGCUGUGGACCCAGGGCCCUCGACUGUCCCUCUCAGGCUGACAAAGUCAAACUCCUGCCCUGUUAGCACCACUAUGGCCAAAGCAAACUGUUUUUGUCACCUCACCGAUCAACAGCUAGUUCAGGCUGAGAUUUGGUUUUUAAGACUGGCAGGAAAUACUGAAGACUAGGGACUAACUAAAUUUAGUAAAUGCUGUGGAAUUUGGGCACAUACAGUCUCGAUGCUGGUGGAUUGAUAUGCAUGAUUAUUUGGUUGUUUCUUGGUUUAUUUGAAAACUAAAAUACUGUAAGUAAUGUCAAGUAACUAAAUAUAUAUUGCUCUACAGCGGGGCAGUAUGAUAUAGUGGAAAACCCCACAAUUUUGAAAUGUGGCUAACCAUAUGUUCUUUGCCGGUGCCUGGAGUAAAGCGUCUGAAAAACAUCUUGAGCACAUUUCCAUUCUCAUAUGCUAUAUAAUUACUUAUAUUUGUGUUCCUAACAAACACUGGGUGAACACAGAAUUGUGCUACUAUUGUCAAUUUAAUUUAUGCAUUUGUUAAGUAUAUUUUUAUAUUUUUAGCUACAGUCAACAAAUCAAAUAUAUUUGAGUGUAUUUUACACAUUUUUAUAAAUAGUUCAUGAAUAAAACAUUCAUUUAAAAAUAAA